rnacentral:rRNA from 1 species
AUGAACGCUGACAGAAUGCUUAACACCUGCAAGUCUACUUGAACUUCGGUUUGGGUGGCGGCCGGGUGAGUAACGCGUAAAGAACUUGCCUCACAGUUAGGGACAACAUUUGGAAACGAAUGCUAAUACCUGAUAUUAUGAUUUUAGGGCAUCCUAAAAUUAUGAAAGCUAUCUGCGCUGUGAGAGAGCUUUGCGUCCCAUUAGCUAGUUGGAGAGGUAACGGCUCACCAAGGCGAUGAUGGGUAGCCGGCCUGAGAGGGUGAACGGCCACAAGGGGACUGAGACACGGCCCUUACUCCUUCGGGAGGCAUCAGUGGGGAAUAUUGGACAAUGGACCAAAAGUCUGAUCCAGCAAUUCUGUGUGCACGAUGACGUUUUUCGGAAUGUAAAGUGCUUUCAGUUGGGAAGAAAAAAAUGACGGUACCAACAGAAGAAGUGACGGCUAAAUACGUG